rnacentral:rRNA from 1 species
UACGUAGGGUGCGAGCGUUAAUCGGAAUUACUGGGCGUAAAGCGUGCGCAGGCGGCGCGUUAAGACAGGUGUGAAAGCCCCGAGCUUAACUUGGGAAUUGCGCUUGUGACUGGCGAGCUGGAGUGUGGCAGAGGGAGGUGGAAUUCCACGUGUAGCAGUGAAAUGCGUAGAGAUGUGGAGGAACACCGAUGGCGAAGGCAGCCUCCUGGGCCAGCACUGACGCUGAGAAGCGAA